rnacentral:rRNA from 1 species
GACGAACGCUGGCGGCGUGCCUAAUACAUGCAAGUAGAACGCUGAAGAGAGGAGCUUGCUCUUCUUGGAUGAGUUGCGAACGGGUGAGUAACGCGUAGGUAACCUGCCUUGUAGCGGGGGAUAACUAUUGGAAACGAUAGCUAAUACCGCAUAACAAUGGAUGACACAUGUCAUUUAUUUGAAAGGGGCAAUUGCUCCACUACAAGAUGGACCUGCGUUGUAUUAGCUAGUAGGUGAGGUAAUGGCUCACCUAGGCGACGAUACAUAGCCGACCUGAGAGGGUGAUCGGCCACACUGGGACUGAGACACGGCCCAGACUCCUACGGGAGGCAGCAGUAGGGAAUCUUCGGCAAUGGGGGCAACCCUGACCGAGCAACGCCGCGUGAGUGAAGAAGGUUUUCGGAUCGUAAAGCUCUGUUGUAAGUCAAGAACGGGUGUGAGAGUGGAAAGUUCACACUGUGACGGUAGCUUACCAGAAAGGGACGGCUAACUACGUGCCAGCAGCCGCGGUAAUACGUAGGUCCCGAGCGUUGUCCGGAUUUAUUGGGCGUAAAGCGAGCGCAGGCGGUUUGAUAAGUCUGAAGUUAAAGGCUGUGGCUCAACCAUAGUUCGCUUUGGAAACUGUCAAACUUGAGUGCAGAAGGGGAGAGUGGAAUUCCAUGUGUAGCGGUGAAAUGCGUAGAUAUAUGGAGGAACACCGGUGGCGAAAGCGGCUCUCUAGUCUGUAACUGACGCUGAGGCUCGAAAGCGUGGGGAGCGAACAGGAUUAGAUACCCUGGUAGUCCACGCCGUAAACGAUGAGUGCUAGGUGUUGGAUCCUUUCCGGGAUUCAGUGCCGCAGCUAACGCAUUAAGCACUCCGCCUGGGGAGUACGACCGCAAGGUUGAAACUCAAAGGAAUUGACGGGGGCCCGCACAAGCGGUGGAGCAUGUGGUUUAAUUCGAAGCAACGCGAAGAACCUUACCAGGUCUUGACAUCCCGAUGCUAUUUCUAGAGAUAGAAAGUUACUUCGGUACAUCGGUGACAGGUGGUGCAUGGUUGUCGUCAGCUCGUGUCGUGAGACGUUGGGUUAAGUCCCGCAACGAGCGCAACCCCUAUUGUUAGUUGCCAUCAUUCAGUUGGGCACUCUAGCGAGACUGCCGGUAAUAAACCGGAGGAAGGUGGGGAUGACGUCAAAUCAUCAUGCCCCUUAUGACCUGGGCUACACACGUGCUACAAUGGUUGGUACAACGAGUUGCGAGUCGGUGACGGCGAGCUAAUCUCUUAAAGCCAAUCUCAGUUCGGAUUGUAGGCUGCAACUCGCCUACAUGAAGUCGGAAUCGCUAGUAAUCGCGGAUCAGCACGCCGCGGUGAAUACGUUCCCGGGCCU